CGUAGGCGGCGCUUCAAGUCGUCUGUCAAAAGCCGAGGCUCAACCUCGGCGCGCAGACGAAACUGGAGAGCUUGAGAAGCAGAGAGGCAAACAGAAUUCCUGGUGUAGCGGUGAAAUGCGUAGAUAUCAGGAAGAAUACCAGUGGCGAAGGCGGUUUGCUGGCUGCAUACUGACGCUGAAGCGCGAAAGCCAGGGGAGCAAACG
rnacentral:rRNA from 1 species